CACAAUAACCGCGAACUUCGUGCUCGGGAAGACGGGCAACCGCAUCAGCGGUUGCACUUGAAUUGUUGAUUUCGCGAAUGUUGUCUUAGCGAAAUCUGAUCGCCAAUUCAAGAAAAGCCGUCGCCGCCGCGCGACUGUAGGGCGGAUUCAGUGUAUGCGUGGGCCACUGCGGCCAGUCGCUCCAUCGCUGGGCGACUCCGCGGGAAGGUCCCGCAACGGUCCUGAUUCGAAAGGGCCGGAGCUACCGCCAAGCCAGGAGACCGGCGAAGUUCGCAGCCGUACG
rnacentral:ncRNA from 2 species